rnacentral:rRNA from 1 species
CAACAGGGAUUGCCUUAGUAACUGCGAGUGAAGCGGCAAAAGCUCAAAUUUGAAAUCUGGCCUCGUAAAGACUGCCUGAGUUGUAAUUUGGAGGGAUAUUUUGGUUGUCGACGUCAUCCUAAGUUCUUUGGAACUGGACAUCAUAGAGGGUGAGAAUCCCGUAAUGGAUGGGCGUUACAUUCCGAUAGAAUAUCUCCGACGAGUCGAGUUGUUUGGGAAUGCAGCUCAAAAUGGGUGGUAAAUUUCAUCUAAAGCUAAAUAUUGGCGAGAGACCGAUAGCGCACAAGUAGAGUGAUCGAAAGAUGAAAAGCACUUUGAAAAGAGAGUUAAAUAGUACGUGAAAUUGUUGAAAGGGAAGCGCUUGAGACUAGAUUCAGCCGACGGUGUUCAGCCAUUGCAUUAGCAUGGUGUAUGUGCCGUUGGUUGAGCCAGCAUCGGUUCUGAUGGCGGGAUAAAGGUUUGAGGAAUGUGGCUCCACAAUUAUGGGGAGUGUUAUAGCCUCGAGCGCAAUGCCGCCUAUCGGGAUCGAGGACCGCGCUUAUGCUAGGAUGCUGGCUAAAAGGUCUUAAGCGGCCCGUCUUGAAACACGGACCAAGGAGUCUAACAUCUAUGCGAGUGUUCGGGUGGAAAACCCUUGCGCGUAAUGAAAGUGAACGGAGGUGGGAACCCUUUGGGGUGCACCAUCGACCGAUCCUGAUGUUUUCGGAAGGAUUUGAGUAGGAGCAUAGCUGUUGGGACCCGAAAGAUGGUGAACUAUGCCUGAAUAGGGUGAAGCCAGAGGAAACUCUGGUGGAGGCUCGCAGCGGUUCUGACGUGCAAAUCGAUCGUCAAAUUUGGGUAUAGGGG